GAUGAACGCUGGCGGCGUGCCUAAUACAUGCAAGUCGAGCGAACAGACGAGGAGCUUGCUCCUUUGACGUUAGCGGCGGACGGGUGAGUAACACGUAGGUAACCUACCUAUAAGACUGGGAUAACUUCGGGAAACCGGAGCUAAUACCGGAUAAUAUUUCGAACCGCAUGGUUCGAUAGUGAAAGAUGGCUUUGCUAUCACUUAUAGAUGGACCUGCGCCGUAUUAGCUAGUUGGUAAGGUAACGGGUUACCAAGGCAACGAUACGUAGCCGACCUGAGAGGGUGGUCGGCCACACUGGAACUGAGACACGGUCCAGACUCCUACGGGAGGCAGCGGUAGGGAAUCUUCCGCAAUGGGCGAAAGCCUGACGGAGCAACGCCGCGUGAGUGAUGAAGGUCUUCGGAUCGUAAAACUCUGUUAUUAGGGAAGAACAAACGUGUAAGUAACUGUGCACGUCUUGACGGUACCUAAUCAGAAAGCCACGGCUAACUACGUG
rnacentral:rRNA from 1 species